ACUGAAAUGGGAAGAGCCCAGCGCAUAACCUCGCGGUCCAUUGCCGGCCGUCGAGGGGUGUUGCGUUUCGGUGGAUCCGUCCCGCUCGUUCCGUAACCACCUAAGUCAUUGCUUGAAAGCAGUCCCAUGGAGGGUGAUAGGCCCGUGUGGUGGCGCCUGUAAAAAGGGCAAAAAACGGUUCGGGCGGAGGGAUCUUCACCGUAGAGUCGGGUUGCUUAGUAUUGCAGCCCUAAGCAGGUGGUAAACUCCAUCUAAGGCUAAAUAUGACCACGAGUCCGAUAGAAGACAAGUACCGUGAGGGAAAGUUGAAAAGGACUUUGAAGAGAGAGUUCAAAAGGACGUGAAACCGUUAGUAGCAUAAACGGGUGGAACCGCGAAGGUCGAACGAGGGGAUUCAGCUCGUCGGCGCACGGUGGUCGAUACCGAGGUAUGUUAGCUUUUGCGCAUAGUAAUGACCCAGGAAGAAUAAUGUUAACAAUACAUUACCUGUGGGCACCUCGGGGCUUCCGUGCUGUCGGCGGGUGUAAUUCUCCCUCUAGUAGGUCGCCGCGACCCGUUGUGGGGACCCCCAUGGCUGUGCUGGAUUGGUAGCCAAGGGCCUAGGCCCUGGGUGAUGACCGGCUACAGUUCUGACAGGGCCCCUGCGACGGUCACUGCCAGGAGACCCUCUUCUAACGGAGGGGGCCUCUCGCGGCGUGGAAACGGGAUCGGUAAUCCACCUGACCCGUCUUGAAACACGGACCAAGGAGUCUAACAUGUGCGCGAGUCUAAGGGUUAACUAAACCUGGAGGCGAAAUGAAAGUGAGCAAUUACAGCUGGCCGAUCCCUGGCCGCUCGUCUCGGCGGUACCGCGGCCAGCGUGAUUUAGUUCGCGCUGGUGUCUUGCGGUGCUCCCCGGACCGCGGUGGCUUUAUUUUAAAUAAAUAAAGAUGCUCUCGUAGCCAGGGCGCAGGCCGAGGACUUGUUUGAUGCGGCCCAAAGGGGGAGUUUGGGUGCCCUCACGGGUGCUCUUAUUAACCCUUAGGUGUCCGCUGGCAAGUACCUAAGAGCGCACACGUUGGGACCCGAAAGAUGGUGAACUAUGCUUGGCGAGGAUGAAGCCAGAGGAAACUCUGGUGGAGGUUCGAAGCAGUUCUGACGUGCAAAUCGAUUGUCAGAGCUGAGUAUAGGGGCGAAAGACUAAUCGAACCAUCUAGUAGCUGGUUCCCUCCGAAGUUUCCCUCAGGAUAGCUGGCGCUUGGGAUGAGUUUCAUCCGAUAAAGCGAAUGAUUAGAGGCCUUGGGGGUGCAAUGCCCUCAACCUAUUCUCAAACUUUAAAUGGGUGAGAUGUGGAGCAUACUUAAGUGAUUAACUAUGAUAUGAAGCUCUAUGAUAAAAAUAAAAGAAUCAGAGUGCCUAGUGGGCCACUUUUGGUAAGCAGAACUGGCGCUGUGGGAUGAACCAAACGUACGAGUUAAGGGGCCUAAAUGAAUGCUAAUGUAGACACUACGAAAAGGUGUUGGUUGCUAUAGACAGCAGGGCGGUGGUCAUGGAAGUUGGAACCCGCUAAGGAGUGUGUAACAACUCACCUGCCGAAGCAACUAGCCCUUAAAAUGGUAUGGCGCUCAAGCAUUCUCCCGAUACUCGGCCGCCGGGGCACUAUGGCUUUUUCCUAAAAAAAAUCCUCCAAGCCCCGGCGAGUAGGAGGGUCGCAGUGGUGGGCGUAGAAGGGACCCGGCGCGAGCCGGCCUGGAGCCGCCACUGGUGCAGAUCUUGGUGGUAGUAGCAAAUAAUCAAGAGAGAACCUCGUUGACUGAUGUGGAGAAGGGUUCCAUGUCAACAUCAGUUGAACAUGGGUGAGUCAGACCUGAGCCCAAGGAUAAACAUCCUGUGUCCCAAGUACUUCCAAAUAAUUAUUGACCAGUCGGUCUGAGACAUUCCUGUUGAGCUAAAAAGAAAGCCUGCAAAUUGUUGUAUAACAUCUUACUUAGUCUCCUACCUAAGUGUAUGAUAUCCCAAUGUAUCAUGAGCCAGCAACAAGCUGGCAGGCUUUAAAAAAGGAACUUAUGGCAAUGAGGGAUGCA
rnacentral:rRNA from 1 species